UACGUAGGGUGCAAGCGUUGUCCGGAAUUAUUGGGCGUAAAGAGCUCGUAGGCGGUGUGUCGCGUCUGCUGUGAAAACUCAGGGCUCAACUCUGAGCUUGCAGUGGGUACGGGCACACUUGAGUGCUGUAGGGGAGACUGGAAUUCCUGGUGUAGCGGUGAAAUGCGCAGAUAUCAGGAGGAACACCGGUGGCGAAGGCGG
rnacentral:rRNA from 1 species